rnacentral:ncRNA from 1 species
GUCCGGGUAUUUGAUUUUACAAGAUACCCUAAGCAGUGAUGCUUAGUAAAAAAUCCCUUGAAUUGCUGGAAACCCUUAAAGCUGAAUUAACUACUGCGAGUUGAAAAACAAAGCCAAUGUUUAAAAAUAAUUCAGAUAUGUAGGCAAUCAGCAGCCAAGCUCCUAAGGUUUAGGAUAUUAAGCUAUGGAGAAGGUUCAACGACUAGGCGUAAGCCGUACACUCAAGUGAGUGGAAGUGGGGGACUCUUUACAAACUUACCACCAUGGAAUACCUUUUGUAUUUGCAAAGAAAGGUCUAUGUCGUAAAUGUAGUAAAGAUGAAGAUAUAGUCUCGUCUUAUGUGAAAGCAUAAG